GACAAAAAAAAAAAAAAAAAAAAAAAAAGAAGAAAAAGAAAAAGCCCAGGUCAGAGCUGAUUGCUCCCACCUGGAGAGACUGCCUGCCUACAUCCCAACUCAGAAAGACCCCUGGAUCUAUCCCCGUGCUCCUGCAGCACCUCCCAGCCAGAGCAACCUCCUACCAGAUUGCCUGCCUCCAUCCUUGUGCAACAAAGCCUGCUGGCUCUAUCCCAGUGCCCAUGCCACGCUUCUCAGCCUGCACCUCCAAAUCCUUGUGUGUAGGCAAGGACCGAGGAAGAGACAGCGCAGAGCAGAGGAACCCAACUUUUUGGUGAACUGUGACUGGGAUCAUCAUCACCCUCCCACGAAGACCCACUUAAGUCUAGUUCCCAUGUUGUAAAGAAGUUAAGGCCUUUCUUCUGCAAAGAGAGACCUUGUUGAAAAGCCCUGGAGGCUAAGGAAUCAUGCUGAUAGAGACCCAGUGGAGGAGAAUAGUCACCCUCAUCAGCCGUUGGCACUAAGGCUCCAGUUUCCACAUCCUUUCUAAUUCUGCCCUGUGCUCUUGAAGGCUGGCAUCUACAGAAUAUCUAGCUAAACUUUGCCCUCUGCCUUCCUAGUGGAAUUGAUCUCAGGGAACACAUCAGUGGAAGAGAAGUCAACAAUGAAGGAGGUGAGAGUAUGUAUUAUCUUGGUUUUCUCUUCGCCAGGUUAGUGAAUCUCUUUAUUGUUUCCACAUCCAGGGUAGCCACCCUCUCCCAACAGUUCUCACUGUUUUGGUUCUGAUAGCUGCUUCCUGUUCUUGCCCACUUACUCCUAGAGGUCAGAAGGCUUCAGCUCUUGCGGCCCAGGAACCUGCAUUGACUCUGGGUCCUUUUCUCAAUUUACCCUUGGGAAGACCACCUUUAUUAAAGUCGCUUGAAUUACCCGGUUUGAGUGUGCCAUCUGUUUUCUGUCUAGAUUCUCACCAACACAUAUAUCCAAUUCUGAAUUGUAGAGUAAGUGGCCAUAUCUGAGGCAUGUGAAAAUGUUAAGUGCUUCAGAGAGAUGAAUUGCAUGGUUGUUGAAAUUCUUUAGUGUGUUCAGGGUAGUAGUUGAAGUGCUUGUUUUAUGUGUAAUCGUUUUGAAGAUGUGAGUGUUUGUCAUCCUCAGUAAUACAAUUUUUUAAAAAGUGUUAAAAUGUAUAGUGCCUUUUGGAAACAUAAGGUCAGAUUAGCAUUCAUUUGGAUUUCACAAGGUAACUGAACACAGAUUUGAAUUGUAAAGUAGCUGUAAUUAUCUUUUUAACAGACACAGUAACUCUUCUUGGCAACCAGCACUGUAAUUAUAGACAUUGUGUUCAGUACAAACUUCCAUGUUUUUGACAGGCUAGAAGAUGAAAAGAUACACAAGGACUUCCUGUUGUUAGUCUCACUUUUUGUCUCUUCACAUCUCUUUACAUCUGAAACUGUGACCCAAAUGGGAGUUACACUUCAUUAUUCAUGACAUAUUGUCCUCUUUAGAGGAAUAAAGAAACUAUGCCUUCAUGGAAGAAAGCUG